rnacentral:piRNA from 1 species
UGAGAAAGAAAGCGCUUUUCUUGAGCUGGC